AUACUUACCUGGCAGGGGAGAUACCAUGAUCAUGAAGGUAGCUUUCCCAGGGCGAGGCUUAUCCGUUGCACUCCGGAUGUGCUGACUCUCUGAGACUUCCCCAGAUGUGGGAAACUCGACUGCAUAAUUUGUGGUAGUGGGGGACUGCGUUCACGCUUUCCCUGA
ensembl:snRNA U1 U1 spliceosomal RNA